rnacentral:misc_RNA from 1 species
GUGAAACCAAUGGCGAGUGUUGUGGCAGUUCAUUCGGAUCUCACUGCCCCGACAAAUGUAGUUCGAAGAGUGAUGGCGAAACACCCAGAAUUGUUUCUGAUUGUUAUUGGCUUGUCGCUGACCAUCAUUUCACGAUAUGGGAGCAGUUCAUUUCUUUUCAGUUUGAGGCCGAAACCUAUCACUGUACCACCAAAACCACCAAAGAAAUUUUUCCCAAACAACUCACCAGUUUAUGAUUUUUUUAAUGGAGAACUUGAUCCGGUGGUCCGUCUUCUUGCCAAGGAGGAGCUUAUAUUCCUCAUGUACUAUGCUCCAUGGUGUUCUCGGUCCAUGGCCACUCGCUGGGAGUUCCACAAGGCAGCAAAACACAUGCAAGGACAGGUGAAGUUUGUGGCUGUGAAUUGCUGGUGGCCGGAUGGGCAGUGUCGGAAACGCUACAAGUUCCUGAUGUUCCCCGUGCUGUUUGUGUAUCACACACAUCUAGAUGGGUUCAGAUACUUAGGUGAGAUGGCGGCCGAGCACAUGGUGACGUUUGUGGAGGACCUUACCUAUCCAAUCACAGCCUUCCACUCUCAUGACCAGGUGAAGGCCUUUGUGGCCAGGCAUGAUAGUGCUGUGGUGGGCUACUUUGACCUCAACGCAUCCCCGCAACCACCAGGCUACCAACAGUUCUAUUUCGCCUCCAUGAGGAUGCUUGAACAAGAUCCCUACAACCAGAUCAAAUUCUGCAUCUUCCCGGGGAAGUCUUUGGCGGAGUCCUACAACUUGACACAAAGUAACGAUGUGAUGUUACUGCGUGUUGCCAACUCCACACUGAAAUAUCCUCGAGAAUUUAACUUGACCAGCUCCCAGCUUGUGACCUGGAGUCUUCAACAUCGACAAAAACCUAUGGUAAGGUCUCUGGCACCUUUGGGAGUGAAGAGUUUGAUAUUGUCAAAGGAGAUGGCUCAGGGGCCAGCCGUGAUUGCCUUCUAUGCCCUCAAUCCCUUGUUUGACACCAACCAACCAUAUCAUGUGAUGAAGGACCUGGCGCUGCAGUACCACAGCUGUGAGGAGAUCCACAACCUAGAGGAUGCCAUCUCACACUGGAGGAGCCAGGUCAGGUCCGCCCAGGUCCAGUACCACCAGGUCGUCGAGUUCUGUGCAAACUACCGCAAGCAACGUAACGUAGGACUCUACGACUUCAAAUGCUGUGUCUCCCUUGCUUCCAAAACCCUGGAGGAGAUGUCCAGCAAGGCACACAAUGUCUGCGAAUACUGUGUCCACCGACCGAGACAGAUGGGGCCGGGGUGUUCCAGUUUAGACAUUGACCCUCAAGUAGAGGAGUGGACUAUGCUGCAUACCAACUUCUGUAGGAACUCUAUAGAGAAUUAUAAUGUUAAUGAAUAUCAUAGUCUGUGUUGUCAGUGGUGUGGUGAUGAUACUGCCUCCAUAGUGCCUGUCCUCCAGUCAGACUUUUUACCCAUGUCUUUCAGAUCAGGGAAGCGUAGAGUGACUGAUAGGUAUGUGUGGCAAGAAAUUGAAAAUAAGCCAAAACGGUUGUGUAAAAGGUUGACUUUACAGAAAUUACAGGGCCAUGUGCCUUAUGAAAAUAGUUAUAACUUUGAAGAGUCCCUUCCAGUCAAUUUUACGGGUUUGGGUUGUCGUAGUAACCGGACUGUGAACUUCUAUGCAAUGGAUGCUGUGCGGCACUCUGUGUUUGCUGAGAGGCUUGGUGUGGAUGUGUCAACCUUACCACAGAAUCCAGCGGUUGUUAUUUUUGAUAAGGAAAAUGAAGAACAGUACUUGCUCAAAGAAAAUUUUACAGCCAAAAAUGUUGCCUCCUUUAUCCUGAACUUCACCCGUGGUCAUGCCGGCCGGUCUCUGCGGUCACUGACCUAUGCCCCCUCUACCUGUGAUAAAACUGAGACCAGUGUAUGCGUUGUCGAAGUCUCGUCUAAUACAUUCCACACUGUCGUCAUGGAUCCUCAUAAGGAUGUACUGCUGUUUGUGUAUGCCUCAUGGUGUGGCUUCUGUGCCAACAUCAAUCAUGUCUACCUCUCAUUGGCCAAGUAUUUCCAGUCAGCGCAGAGCAUCGUGUUUGCCAGGCUAAAUGGUGACACCAAUGAUCUUCCAUGGGAAUUUACAGUAGAGUCUUUUCCAGCUAUCAUCUUCUUUCCAGCCAACAGGAAAGCUAACAGUGCUGUCUUCCCCGACACCAUUCCUGUGACGAUGCCCAACCUGAUCCGAUUCGUGCUGCAGCACUCUACGCAGAGUCUCCGAGUGGAGACAGCUCUUGGCGUCUGUUCCAAAGCCUGUAUACAGAAAAAUCGGGAAUAUGCUGUUAAUGCUCGAUAUAGCCUACAACAGAAGCAGUCACGUCUUCGACUGCGUCUGAGUAUGAUUAACGCAGAAUGGGACCAUUUGAGCACUACUGCAAGGAUGUUUCGAUACAUUUCCCGGAGACACAUCCACAGCGUUCUGCAGCAGACGCGACGGAACCUUCUGGUGGUUGAUCAGCUGCAGCAGUUCCUCCAGUCCAGCAAUGGAGUUUACAUCGAAAAUUCCAAACUGCGCCAGUUUAUGUCAGAGCACAAACUUCUUCAGGAAUUGGAUCUCAAUGCCAGUUAAUGAUUAAACCUUAAUAUUAAUAUUACCGUUAUGUCAAUUAUGUGGUCUCCGUAAACAUUGUUAUUUCCACUCCAGACAAAUAUGCAUGUUUUUUAAAAUGUUGACGUGAGGUAUCUGUUGCCAUUUAAAACAUCUACAGUGCACAAGGGGUGAAGUUGUUUUGCACUGUUUUGACAUUUUCAAAGUUGAUGGAUUGCCUAUCAUAAGCAUUUUGGAAAAUAAGAUACAUUGUCAAGAUGAUUUAAGAGUCAGUAGACGUAGCACUAUGCAGGAAAACAGCAUUAGAAGUCACUUUGUUCAGUUUAUGGAACGUGAGUCAAUAUUUUUUCAUGGUGAUGCAUCAUUUACAAUAUGUCAGUUGCUGUUGUUUUUCCUGGUUCUAAUGUGAAAUCCGUUCUUUUUACAAGAUCAGGAGAUAAUGGAUGUGUGCAUGACAGACUGUUGUGAUAACUUUGGAGUAUUUGUGCACAGUUUUGCAUCCAGCCGAUUGCAUUACUUAAUAUUGUGGCACCUCGUGGUGUGAGCUGAAUAUGAUAUUAACUUAUUCAAGCAAGACAAAAACUCAUUAUUUUGUAAAAUUCUACAUUUUUUGUUUUCUCACAAAACAACAAAUAUUGAACCUCACUGAAUUUAGAAUGAAAUUUUAUUAAGUUUUGAAAUAUGAAAUGUCAACGCCAGAAUAUAAUCAGUCUCGACUAUCUGCAGGAACAGAUACCAUUGGGAGUAAAACGCAAAACAGCAGUGAAAAUUAUAUGCAUGGAUCACUGAAAAUCAUUAAUGACACUAGAUGUUCUCAAAAAUGGUAAGCAUGUCCUGUCCAACCGGUAGCACCUGCCACUCUUACCAUGAAUGUAGAAUCAAAAGAGGAAGGAAAAAUUGACAUAUGAGUUCACAGAGUUCAGGAUCUGAAUGAAAGUCAGAGGUUCUUGUCAUUACCUCAGUGUAACAUAUAUAGACAUUUAGGGAUCACUUUUAAAACACGGUAUCAGAAAAUAUCAGAAAACCACAAGGAUCCAGGACCCUCUUUUUUCUGAUACAGAAACACUGCAAAUAAUGCCCUACAGGGGCGGAUCCUGAAUUGAAAAAAGGUCCAGUUGGGCCAUUUGUAACUUGAGUGGAAGAGAGACCAAAGCCUACACCAAAAUAUACCUUUGAUUGUAUGGUGCGUAUUCCUGUAGUGAGUUGUUGAAUUCAUUUGUGCAGGAGCCGCACUAGAUUUUUAUCACCAUCUAUUGAAUGUUGGCCAUCAGGACUUGCCACAGUCACUCUCAGCGAAGCUUCUGCAUCUCCUGUUAUUGGCAAAUAUUAAAACAGGAUACGAUCCAUCACUCCUCCUUGCUUUGAAAUGAAAUAGAAUUAUGUCGUAAUGACUGCAUUUUUUCGCUGUAAAUCAUACCACUUUGUCAGGUAUUCAUAUAUACCUUUUCAUGUGUGUUUACAGAAAUAAAUCCAGGCCAUCCAAAGAUUUUGUUAUUAAAAAUGGCAACUAUUGUAUGACAUAAAACUGUCAGUGUUAAGUGUUGCUGAUGUGUUGGCUGCAUCCCAGGGCUAAGUCUGAUGGGCUCUACAUCACACUGGGGAAUGUCUGGACCACAGCACUCUGUCAGGCCAAUUAGUUUAUUAUGUCACAUGUGAAGACUGAUUUAUGUUGCACAUAUCUGACCUGCAUUCAUCUUUCUGGUGCUGGGCUCAGGAGAAGCAUGAUAGGUGAUGGCCUGAAUCUGUGAUUUGAACAAUUAGGUAUCACCGAGUGAGAGAAAGAGUGAUGGCGAGUGAGUGAUAGUAAACAAAGGAUAAUUAUUUUGCGAAUCUGGGAUUUUAACAAUUACCGAUUGAAGUAGUGAGUGAGUGAUAGUGUAUGAAUGGUAGUGAGUGUUCGGGAGUGAGUGAUUGAAUGAAUGAUUUCAUGCUUCUUUAAAGCUUUUGAGUUCGAUCAUGGUGUUAUAUCACGAAGAAACUCCAAAGUGGUGCAGAUUAUACAUUUACACCACUUUCCUGAAACGAAAAGCAUGGGUAUGGAUUAUGAAGUCCAGGAUAAUGAUUUGAGUGAAUCUAGUAUUCAAACCUAAGGGUCAGGGAAGCAAACCUGCACAGCAAAUUGCAGCACCGUAUACUGCAGGGCCAUCAGUGACAAUGUUGAAUUUUUUCUCUUGGUGCAUCUUGCUGCAGAGCAGUGAUAGAACGAUGUCUUGUUUAAGUUUAUUGUCAGGCGGUCAUUCUGUUCAAACUGGGGGGCACGGUUGGCCCAGCCGUCACUGGGCAUGCCAGAAACCUAUGAUUGUGGGUUCGAAUCCCGGUUCCUCCAGAUUAUGUUUCUAGGUUUGUCAGCACCAUACCUGUGCUCGUGGGUUUCACCGAAGUGGUAAACGUCUGAGACCUGAAUCACUUGGGGCUUUCCUACCACAUUAAGCUGACUAGCCGCGAUAUAACUGGAAUACUGUCAAAAGUGGCUUCAAACCCAACUCACUCACUCACUCACUGUUCAAACUGGAUGAGAUGAAAGACAGAAGAUGAGACAUGUCAAAGAGGCACAUUUAUUUUGUAAUUAUUUUGGGAUAAUUGUGAAUAAAUGUUUGAUACCUUUGAAAUGACUUUCUGAUUACUUUAUUGUUGGUGGUAGGUUAUUGUAGACAGUAGAGCAAGUAGGGGGACUGAGCAGAUGCUUGUUAUAAGACAUUCUUGAUGUCUGAGGAAAACGUUGGUUUGUUGUUUUAAAAUUGAGGAGUAUGUUUCUAUUUCAUAUGAAUAUUUGUGUGAAUGUGGUUGUAUAAAGAAAAAAAUGCACUUACUAAUGUUGAAGGUGCAUAAUCUUGGAUAAUGAUGUGAUUGGUUUUAUGGAUCUAUUUUUUUUGUCUAAUAUUUGAGAUUUGAUAAAGAUUGUUGAUGUAUGAAAUAGAUUACUUUGGGAAUAAAAGGCUAAAUAGUUGUGAAAAUUAUAUGAAUGGAUCACUAAAAAUCAGUGAUUACACAAGGUGUUCACGAAACCUCAGGGGCAUUUAUGUCAGGUUUCUGAAGAGCAUUCCUUUUUCAUUGACAGCUAAUAUUUUGAAACUUUGUUACAAAAUUAUCAUUUUGCUCAAUAUUGAUCAAUUUGAUGGCUGUGAUUAUGCUUUAGGUCCAAGAAAAAUAUUGAAGUUGCACCUAUUAGAGAUUUGUUAUCAGAUGUUCAUAACCAGUUGUUCAUUGAGGAAAAGUGCUCAUAGUUAACUAAAUAUUAAAAAGUACAUUUAAAAAGAAACUUUAAUAUUUUGUCUGUUUUAGUUCUUAAUUUUUGGUAAUUUUAUUUCUUCAACAUGUUUUAUGCAACGUAUAUUGAUAAUUGACUUUGUACAAUAACUAUUUGUUUGCCACUCUGGUAUACAGUAUUUUUGUGUGUUCGGUUAUUACAAUAGUAUAAUUGCAAUUUAACACAAUGAUUGAUAAACCUCAGCAUGGUACCUAUCUCCAUGUCUCCAUUUUGAUGCCUAAAAUGAUGUCACGAUCAUAUCAACUUACCUGACUUGUGUUAGAAAUCCUCCAUAUCGGAUCAUACCUUUUGUCAACUUCUAUGUUAUUUUGUUUGUGCUCUUUAUAACUAGGUACAUGUAUUUGCAAUGUUUUAUAGACUUGGAAAAAGAAACAUCUCCUAAACCUAUUAGUAUGUAUAUAGAGAGGUGAUUCUGUUUGGCAUGAAGAACCUGCAAGUCCUGUGGUAGCUUCCAGUUAUUGGAAUGAUACUAUGGACGUAUUGUGAAUAUACAAAUACAUAUACAUGAUUGUACGUGACAAUGUCCAGACCGUUAUUGGAUGAUUGGGGCUCUGAAGGUGUAGAGUGUUAAGGUCCUUGGUAUAAAGGAUUAUUAUUGUCCAUUAUGCUUGUGCAUUGUAGCCAUCCAGGGUAACUCAUAUCAAGAUAGGAAAACAUGAUGGCAUGGUUUCUUUUAUGAUUAUUGUUCACAACAAGUUUUUGUCAUUUCAUCUGACGUUAGUUCAACUAGAACUAGAAGAUCACGACUACAGGUCAUAUGGUUUUUGUAGUUGACUCUUCUUGCAGGAAAAACUGUUUUUGAGUGAGUGGGAUUGUGCUAUGUGACUGCAUGUUAGAUGAAGAAAUGUGUACAUUGAAUUUUCAUCUGCAUUCCGGGGGCACGGUUGGCCCAGUCGUCUAAGGCACCACGAUUCGCUGUGCAGAGUUGCGUCCCUUGGGCAAGCCAAAAACCUAUGAUUGUGGGUUCGAAUCCCGGUUCACCCCGAUUAUGUUUCUAGGGUUGUCAGCACCAUACCUGUGCUCGAGGGUUUCACCGAAGUGAUAAACAUCCGAGACCUGCAUCACUUCGAGCUUUCCUCCCACAUUAAGCUGACACGCCGCGAUAUAACUGGAAUACUGUUAAAAGCGGCGUUAAACCCAACUCACUCACUCAUUUGUCUGCAUUCCUUAAGCUGUUUUAUUUUUGUUCUUAUAUUUGUUUUUAUUGUAACAAUUAGUAAUGGGCAUAUUUCUAAUUUCAAGUAACAAUUGAAGGAUGGCAAAAGUAAAAGUAAGAAAUAUUAAGUAUAUCUUCUGUCCAAGUAUGAACUAUGUGUACAUGAAAUUUACAAUGACAUGAUUGUGUGACUGAAACACAUAUUUUAUUAUUUUUGAGUUUAUGAUUCGUUGUAUAUAGAUUUGUAAAUACUUGUAUGUAUUUAUAGAAUAUGUGCAAAUGAAAACAAAACCGAUGUAUAGCUCAGUCUUAAGAAUCUGUUUCCAAGUGCACUUGUUGAGAUUGUAAUUUUUCAAGACAAUCUCUUCUUCUCACAUAGUGCAGCAAACUAGCCACUUAACGCUUACAUUGAUGAACAGAGACUACCAUUUCAUGGUAUAGAAUUGUUGAUUAAUUUCCCUGUUACUGAACUGGGUCCACAACCUGGCCUUACUAAGUGGAAGCAUGAAAAAUAUCAAAAACCAAACACUUUGCUGUUACUUCUUUGUCAUAAAUAAAAAUGUCAAAAAUGACCAUCUGUCACCGAGAGUUUCUCGUUGUGGACUAUGAACCAUUGUUACUGACAUUUAAUAUGGUGUCCGUAUUCUUGAGUUCAUCAUAGUCACUGUAGAUGUUUCCCUAAGUCAUUGCAUCUGAAAUUUAACAUGAUGCUUCCCUCAUUGUCUCUGCAUUAGUGGGGCAUCCAGAAAUGCUGUAAGCAAUCAUAGCUCCUUUAUCUCCAGCAUGUUCAGUGCAGUAUUGAUAAUCAAAGUUACUGGAGACACUCCACUUACCCCGGGAUUUGAUACUACACGUAGCGGAUCUACGGUUACUUGCUAAGAUAUUCCAUCUGUAUAAAGAAUACUAGUUUUCAUUAUGCAUGUCAACAACCAGAUUCAUGUUCAUUACAUUUAGAAUAAGUUUUGUAUUUUGCACAUGAUAUGCAUGAGUGAAUUGUUCCUUUAUGGUAUUGUAUUUUGAGCAUAAACAUGAAUGUCCUCAUUCUCUGUAAUUCCAAUCAAACAAAGUACAUUAUAUUUUUAUUGGUAGGAAUACAAAUCAAAAUGAAUGGAUGUAUUCAGAGCUGCCAACUCUGAACCAUAGCUUUUAAGCGCGGUAUAAGAGCAUUGCUGGUAAAGUAAAUAUGAAGUAAAGAGCAAAUGCUAGUUUGACUAAUUGAGUUUUACUUUGAAACAACAACAGGCAAACCAACCAACAUUCUUAUCAAUACACUUCCUAGGGAAUUCAAAAAUGUCAUUUCCUCAAUACUUAUUAGAAAUGAGGCUAUUUUUUUUUAUACUAUUGCUGCUAUGGCUUAAAGCACUAGUUACUCAUUCACUUUUUCUGUAUGUUUGAUUCCAGAUGGUUGAAGAAAUGUGUGAUUUGAUAAUGGGAAAUUGUGUUGGCAGUUCUGAAUAGUUCAAUGUUUUUUGACAUACUGGUCAACUGAGCAAAUGCUAAUAUGUUUGGAAAUUGGCAUUUUGUUGUUUUCAGGGAUUAAACUAUGUCUAAAAAGGUGUAUCUUAGCUGUGACAGGCCAAAUGUCUCAACAACCAUUAAUUAGCAUCAGGAAACUUGCCAGGGUUUCCUUGAGCCAAACCAUUUUCAUACUGCUAUUGUGACACAACAAAUAUAGCUUGCAUACAGGACCUACAAAUUACAUGUGAACUAGGCUCUGUUUCACAUAGUCAUCUUUGUGUAGCAUAUUUAGCACUAAUAUCACUUUUGGAAAUUGUGCUUUGGAAACAACCUCCAUUUUUCAGUAAAUUAUGAAUAAUGUUUAUGGUUCCAUUCUGUUAUGAUGAGUACCCUGCAGCUCUACUCUGCCAUGGCAUCAUUUUGAGUCUGACAUUCGAUUCAUCAGACUGACGAGCGAGAAUAUUCUGCAAUGAUGAGAGAGCUAGAGAUCAUGACGUCACUCCACAAAUGAAGAUUUGGAAUUCGGUCCAAGGGGCAUAUUAUGAUAGAAUAUAGUGGAUAUUCGAGGAUGUUUGGCUGCUUGAAGUAUGUGCCUUUAGUGGAAGUGGAUUGAGAAAGUUUUCACUCUAUAGUAAUAUGUUUUUCUCCUUUUCAUUCUGUCUCUCACAUCUAUUGAAUAUUACCAGUGUCAUGUACGCCUGUCACUGAUGCACUAAAUCCUUCAUUUGAAGUAUUUGUAAGCCUUUUGUCUGCACAGGAAAAAGCCCUGAAAAGUGCCAUUGGUUGCCAUGUCAUUAAUUCACAAUUAAUCUUUGAUUGAUAGAUGUCAGGUGGUGUCCAAUCUUUUCAUACGUUUCACAAGUAGUGCAUCAUAUUUACACCACGUGUUGAGGAUGUGAGGAAUAUAUGGAAAUGUAUCUGAGGGAAGAAAUUCAUGAAUAAUUUACGAUCAACAUAAAUAAAUUCUGCGUUCUUAUUUUCAA